AGAACACUCGCUCUACUUUCCUCUUGCAAUGUGGAAUGUUGGCCUUGUCGGGUGUUCGCAGUAUAUCCUGUGCUUCCUGCUUGUUGAAGAAAAAAUCUCUGUCUAAUCCGAGGAGAGUUCUGCCGCUAAAGGGAAGGAUUAGAGCACAAGGCGCCACGGGUAUAAGGUUCCCCUGAGCAACGAUGAAAGUUUCAACCUGCGGCACAUGGGUGUAACUUUAACUGGAAUAAUGUGGAUCAAAGACUGACAAACAAAGUGGGUGGAAAUGCUGGAGUAGUGUCUGUGUUCGAGUAAAGGACGUUCACCAGAGAGGGACAGCGUUUAUGAAACGCAGACAGAGAAACUGUAAUUAAUUACUGAGAUAGUGUGUUUGUGCUCCUGAAGCUCCUGAAUUAAAUUAUCAACAUUAUUAACACUGUAUAACAUCUGUGACAUAUUUACAUUGGUGUUAUUUACAUUAUUUACCGGUGGCAAAUUAACAGUGCAAUUUAUUGUACAAUUUAUUGUACUUUAUAGAAAAUAUUCAAGUUCGAACUCCUGCAGCCUCAGAUUUAUCAAAGCUGCAUUUAUUCAAUAAACAACUAUUUUAAAUAAGUGUUUGUUCCCUGAAAUCCUGUCAGAAAUGUGGUCUUGAAAUCUGUGGCAUACAUGAACUCAUCAGAGGGGACCAGUUCUAUGUGGAAGUGUAACCUUUACACUGCAAUUGAACUUCCACAUACACAUGUUAUGAAAGGUCCCAGUGGCCCCCUGAUCUACUGACAUUGAUUUGAAGACUUGCUACUUUAUUAUGUACUAAGCCCUUUAAACAUGUCCUACACUGUGGCAUGUUAUGAGCCAAUGCUUCAUUGUCCAGCUUUAUUGAGAGUCGGUGUACGCACAGUCUCCACCAUUUCCCCAGAGUGAGGUCAUGGUUGUAGGAAGAAGAGACGAUCCAAGUGCAAUUUUGUCUCUCUUAUCUGUUGUUAUAACAGAAGGAUUCCAAUAAGCCAGGGAAUGGCCUAUUCAGGUGUUAUUCAUAAAAAAUGUAAGCAAAGAUAUAUUUGUUUUAACUUCACUUCAUAUAUAUAUAUAUUAAUUUUGAUUGUGAAACAAAAAAGAAGUAACUAUCCUAUUGAAUAAUUGUUAACAUGCCACAAGUUUGCAUUU